rnacentral:lncRNA from 1 species
AUCCUUCCUCCCAGAUUCUUUUCUCUGCUGCAGUCAAUUCCCCCUUUUUCCAUUUGUAGAGACAAAAGGGAACAUUCUAUAACCACUGGCCUCUGUCCAGGAACACAGGAGAAAAUGAAGCAAGGCAAACAACAGAGAAAAGUGAACAACAAAAGAACAAACUCAAACGAAACUGCUUAACAAUCCUACAGUGCAGACCUGGCAGCUAGACAUGGAAGAGGAUAAGGAAAAUAUGGAACCCAAAGGACUGUGCAAAGAUUAUAGGAUGCUGUGAGCAAAUGGGGUGGAAGCAUGCUUUCCUGAGCUAUAGAAGGAA